AUGUCAAUGGAAUCCCCAAGCGUGACUAGUGGCAAUGGGAGAACGCCAUCACUGGUGCCGCUGUUGGAUUCGCCACUGUCGUGGUCAUGCAUCCCCUCGACAUUGUCUGAACUAGGUUUCAAGGUUCCUUCUAAUCUUAAUCUAAAUCAAUUCCUUUUUUCAGUUUUCCACUACAUUGUAUUCAAUUUCCUUCUGGUGCACUAUAUGAUUCCGCAAUUAACGAUGGUCGAGUCUCUCAUCUUCCUAGUUACAAGAACACCGCUCAC